UGGGGAAUUUUGCACAAUGGGGGAAACCCUGAUGCAGCGACGCCGCGUGAUUUAGAAGGCCUUCGGGUUGUAAAAAUCUUUUCUAUGGGAAGAAAAUGACAGUACCAUAGGAAUAAGGACUGGCUAAUUACGUGCCAGCAGCCGCGGUAAUACGUAAGGUCCGAGCGUUGUCCGGAACCAUUGGGCGUAAAGGGUACGUAGGCGGGUAAGCAAGUUAGAAGUGAAAUCCUGUAGCUAAACUACAGUAAGCUUUUAAAACUGCUCAUCUUGAGAUAUGGAAGGGAAAGUGGAAUUCCUAGUGUAGCGGUGAAAUGCGCAGAUAUUAGGAGGAAUACCGGUGGCGAAGGCGACUUUCUGGCCAUAAUCUGACGCUGAGGUACGAAAGCGUGGGUAGCAAACAGG
rnacentral:rRNA from 1 species